ACACCCGAGGCCUCCCGGGUCUCAUCCACGCCUCUGGGUCCAUCACUAAACAGAAGGCACAAUCCCACUAACUCUUACUCCAUCGCUGCUCAUGAAACUCCUGCCAGUAAGGACUGGGUCAAGCACCUGAAAACCAGAGCUCGUCCGUGGCUUCACUUGUUUUGGACUAAGGAGCUGAGGAGCGUGCAAGACUGUACUUGGAGAAUCUGUUUCUUGCUGCCAUUUCGUCACUGAACACUAUUUUUUUUCUCCUUCUUUUUUUGUAAGAAAAGGAGAACACAUAAAACCCCACCAGAACAAACUCCACUCGGCCCUGAAAGUAUUUACAAUCACGGCCCUGAAAGUACUGAAAGUAUUUACAAUCACGUUACAGUUCAUUCACUGCUGCAGAACCUCUCUCCAGCGAUCAAGGUCGAAGGGAGCCGACGUCGCCCUCUAUCGGCUCCCUGCUGCACUAGAAGAUAUUGACUGAGAAUCCUCCAUGUGCCAAGUACUGUUCAAAAACACUGGGAACCCAGCAGGGAUGAGCCACAAGUUUCCUUGUCUUUACGAAGCUUUCAUUCUGAGGGAGUGGAGAGAGACAAGCAAUAAACAACCAAUCAAAACAAA
rnacentral:lncRNA from 1 species